GAUCAGGAUUAUGGGGGGUCUUUUAGCCCGUUUAAAACCCUGAACAGUAAAUCAAUUAUUAACCCUUUAAAGUCUGAUUCAAGACAUAAUGGUCAGGAAAAUUCUAUUAUUUGGUCCUUAAGUGUAAAUAAAGACAUAUUCCGCAUGUAUCUUCUGUCCAUUAGAGUGUAAGCGGUCAGUGUUGUUGUAGUGCCAAACGUGUCCACCAGGGGGCAGAAGACAGCUAUCAGCUUGUAUACAACAGAGUAUAGACCUAAGUUUUUUCCAGAAA